rnacentral:rRNA from 1 species
GUAGUCCACGCCCUAAACGAUGUCAACUAGUUGUCGGGUCUUAAUUGACUUGGUAACGCAGCUAACGCGUGAAGUUGACCGCCUGGGGAGUACGGCCGCAAGGUUAAAACUCAAAGGAAUUGACGGGGACCCGCACAAGCGGUGGAUGAUGUGGAUUAAUUCGAUGCAACGCGAAAAACCUUACCUACGUUUGACAUGCCAGGAAUCCAGAAGAGAUUUUGGAGUGCCCGAAAGGGAACCUGGACACAGGUGCUGCAUGGCUGUCGUCAGCUCGUGUCGUGAGAUGUUGGGUUAAGUCCCGCAACGAGCGCAACCCUUAUCAUUAGUUGCUACGCAAGGGCACUCUAAUGAGACUGCCGGUGACAAACCGGA